AAUAAUAAUUAUCUCGUUGUAUUUAGAAAAUAAUCCAUUAAUACUGAGUAAAAGUAGUACUUAAAUGUUUGGGACUGGUAAUACUAAAUGCAAUAUGGUGGUUUGUUUACUUGGUUGUUUGGUUGAUUUUCGUACUUCGAUUUGCGAUUGUGUACAUUUUUCUUAUAAACCUGUUUGUUUUUCAUGAAAAAUGGUGAAUUCAAGUUGUGUGACAGGGUGCAAAAAUGAGUCUUAUCCUGGUAGCAGCUUUUCUUUCCACAGGUUUCCGAAGAAUGAAAAUCAGAAAUUGAAGUGGGGAAAUGCAGUGCCUGGAAAAAUCUCAAAAUCGUCUGUUGUUUGCAGUGCGCAUUUUAAAUGUGACGACUUUGUUCCUGGUUAUAUUAGGAAAAUGCAAUGUAUAAAAACAAAUCAUUAAAUAAUUAUUGCAAU